UCAGGCCUAACACAUGCAAGUCGGACGAACUUAGAAUUUUUAUAGGAUUUUAAGUUAAGUAGCGGACGGGUGAGUAAAAUGUAAGAGACCUACCUUUAGGAGGGGGAUAACGACUGGAAACGGUGGCUAAAACCCCAUAAGCUGCGGAGUAAAAAGUUGACACUGCCUAAAGAUGGGCUUGCAUCUGAUUAGCUUGUUGGUGGGUUAAUUGAUCACCAAGGCGACGAUCAGUAGUUGGUCUAAGAGGAUGAUCAACCACACUGGGACUGAGACACGGCCCAGACCUUUACGGAGGGCAGCAGUGAGGAAUUUUCCGCAAUGGGCGAAAGCCUGACGGAGCAAUACCGCGUGGAUGAUGAAGGCUUUUGAGUCGUAAAAUCCUUUUCUUAGUGAGGAAAAUAGACAGUAACAAAGGAAUAAGCAUCGGCUAAUUCCGUGCCAGCAGCCGCGGUAAUACGGGAGAUGCAAGCGUUAUUCGGAAUUAUUGGGCGUAAAGCGUCUGUAGGUGGCUUUUUAAGUCUAUUGUUAAAUAUCAAGGCUUAACCUUGAAAAAGCGAUAUGAAACUAAAGAGCUUGAGUUUAGUAGGGGUAAAGGGAAUUCCCGGUGUAGUGGUGAAAUGCGUAGAUAUCGGGAAGAACACCUGUAGCGAAAGCGCUUUACUGGGCUAAAACUGACACUGAGAGACGAAAGCUAGGGGAG
rnacentral:rRNA from 1 species